GAUGAACGCUGGCGGCGUGCCUAAUACAUGCAAGUCGAGCGAACAGACGAGGAGCUUGCUCCUCUGACGUUAGCGGCGGACGGGUGAGUAACACGUGGAUAACCUACCUAUAAGACUGGGAUAACUUCGGGAAACCGGAGCUAAUACCGGAUAAUAUAUUGAACCGCAUGGUUCAAUAGUGAAAGACGGUUUUGCUGUCACUUAUAGAUGGAUCCGCGCCGCAUUAGCUAGUUGGUAAGGUAACGGCUUACCAAGGCAACGAUGCGUAGCCGACCUGAGAGUGAUCUCGCCCACUGGGACUGAGACACGCUCUACACACUUCUGCGAGGGACAGGUAUGGAGACUCCUCCGAAGUGCGCAAGAGCGUCGCAGAACAGCGCCGCGUGAGAGGAAAGGCUCUUCAGAUCGUAAAUCUCUGUUUAUGGAAAAAAAAAAGUGUAUAUGUAUCUGUACGCGUCUACGGGAUACCAAAAGAAAGAGCCGCGGCAAUCUGCG
rnacentral:rRNA from 1 species